rnacentral:rRNA from 1 species
UACGAAGGGGGCUAGCGUUGUUCGGAAUCACUGGGCGUAAAGCGCACGCAGGCGGAUCGUUAAGUCAGGGGUGAAAUGCCGAGGCUCAACCUCGGAACUGCCUUUGAUACUGGCGAUCUUAGAGUCCGGGAGAGGUGAGUGGAACUCCGAGUGUAGAGGUGAAAUUCGUAGAUAUUCGGAAGAACACCAGUGGCGAAGGCAGCUCGCUGGGACGGUACUGACGCUGAGACGCGAAAGCGUGGGGAGCGAACAGG